CCUGUGAACCAGUAAGCUGAGCUUUGGGGCUUUCUCAUCUUCCAAGACCACAGGGUCCCGGGGGCACAAGAGGCUGAGCCUCUUUGUUCUGUUUCCUUCUCCAGGCCGAAGACCUGAACGCCAAGUUGGAGGGAGAACCUUCUAUGCGGAAACCAAAGCAGCGGCCACGGCCGGAGCCUCUCAUCAUCCCCACCAAGGCGGGCACUUUCAUUGCCCCUCCUGUCUACUCCAACAUCACCCCCUACCAGAGCCACCUGCGUUCUCCUGUGCGCCUUGCUGACCACCCCUCUGAGAGGAGCU
rnacentral:lncRNA from 1 species